UACGGAGGAUGCAAGCGUUAUCCGGAUUUAUUGGGUUUAAAGGGUGCGCAGGCUGUUUGAUAAGUCAGUGGUGAAAGUAUGUCGCUUAACGGUAGGAUUGCCAUUGAUACUGUUGGACUUGAAUAUGGAUGAGGUAGGCGGAAUGUGUAGUGUAGCGGUGAAAUGCAUAGAUAUUACACAGAACACCGAUUGCGAAGGCAGCUUACUAAUCCAUCAUUGACGCUGAGGCACGAAAGCGUGGGGAUCAAA
rnacentral:rRNA from 1 species